AUGCUCGCUUUGGCAGCACAUAUACUAAAACUGGAACGAUACAGAGAAGAUUAGCAUGGCCCCUGCGCAAAAAUGACAUGCAAAUUCGUGAAGCAUUCCAUAUUUAA